CCCAAACCUUUCACAGGCCCAUUAUGUGAAUUAGACAUGAUUUUAAAAUUUCCUUUAUCCUUAGAAUCAGGGAUAUUCAUUUCAAUUUCUACCGACUGAGUAAUCAAGCCCCCAUUAUCUUCCUUCAUCUUUCUUUUUUCACCGCCGCUCGUCUCUUCCUCAUUAAUAAGGGCAUCAAAUCUAGAGCCCAAUCUUCCUUUUCCAGCUACCUUGCUACCAGAUUCUCGCAAAUCUCUCAAUUUCUGUUGGGAUCUACUUUCCACCAGCAUCCAAGGUCCGAAUGCCGGUUCGGUUUCCUUCCCACGUUUAUCGUUGUUUUUGCUAAACUCACAGUCGGCCAUAGUUUUUCUCCCUCAUUACCAGAUGCUUCUUUCGACAGUGAGCACAUCUCCCUUACAUGUCCGUAUUUGCCACAAGCAAAACAAACUGUUGGUAAGCCUUCGUACUCCACCCUUUGAAUAUUGCCAUUAACUCGAAUUUGAGAGACAAGAGGUUUGUCCAGGUUAAUGAACACAACCAUCCUGGCAAAUCUCCCUCUAGUUCUAUUAUCAGUCUUGAAAUAAAACUUUGCAACCUUAUCUAUUGUGUUACCAAUCACCUCAAGAAUCUUCUUCUUAUACAUAAAUCCAGGUAGUCCAGAUAGCCUAAUCCAAGCCAUGACCACACUUGGGUAAGGUUGAAGAGUGGAAAAGUCUUUUGUCCAUGGUUGAACUGUCAAAUAUUACCCAAAAAUUAUCCAUGGUCCCUGGGUUAGAACCUUUUCAUAAUCAUUGUUAUUCUGAAAUUUAGCCAAAUAAUAUCCAUUUUCAAUAUCCAUUAACUGAAAAGGUUGUAUAGGCUUCCAAAGGUUACUAACUUGAUUAAACAGAACACCGUAGCUGAUAUUUCGGCCUAGUAGUUUCAGAACCACUGUCAACUCCAUCUCCUUAUAUAAUAUUUGUUUGACGCGAUCAGAAAAUUCAAUUCUCGGGAUUCCAUUAAUGGUGGAUCUGAUAACAUUAUCUUCUAGCAGAAUGAAAUCUCCAUCACUUCCCUCAUCAAAACCAGCAAUUCCCUGGUUAGCCCCAAUAGAACCAGACCCUAAUAGUUUGUCCUUCCAAGACAUUAUCAUGCUCGAAGAUGGAGCAGAGUCCACAGCCAUAUCAACAGUGACCCCAUCAGAUCCAUCUUUGAAUCUUACGUUCUUGGUAUUGCGAUCUUCAGACAACCGUGAAUCACUGUCACUUUCGAUCACUUCCAGAGAGUUCUCCACCACUUUACACAAUACAUAAAUAUUAUUUUAAUUCCUAUUGAGGUUGCUAUAAAUCAUUAUUAUUAAAAAGUUAAAUUAUAUUAACAAUCACUAAAUUAUUAAUAAAUUUUUUUAUUGAUUAUUUAAUUGUAGAAAGAUACAAAAUAUAUAUUCGAUUAUUUAAUUCUUUUCUUUUUUGUUCACCAGCUAAUAAACUUAUUCAUAGGUCAGGUUAAUUGCUCAAUUUUGAAGGUCCACUUGAAAUUUGGGAGGAUUUGAGUAAAAAGAUUAAGCUCAAAAAAUAGGCUUAUUCAAAAAAUUAGGCCUAUUUAAAAUAUGGGUCAAGCUCGAACUUAAACUUUCAAAACCCGAGCUUGGCCCAUUUUUGAGUUUAUAAUAUUUUAUAUUAUGUUAUUUUUAUAUAUUAUGAAAUUUAGAACACAUUAAAAAGAUAAGCUUAUACUAAAUAUAUAAUACUACUCUAAUGUAAACAUUAAAAUAAUAUUAAAAUGAUUAUAUAAAAAUUUUCAAUAAAUAAAAAAUGUAUAAAAUUAUUAAAUAUUAAAAUAAUAUAAUAUAAACAUAUAUUUUUAAAAUUUAAAAAUAAUAUGGGCAGAACUAAAAUAAGUUUGGGUUGGUCUUUUGCAAAUAUAGAUGAAUUUAGACAAUUUUAAGCCCAUAUUUUUGGUCGAACCAAGAUUGGGUAAGCAUAAAGUAUGUUAAUAUCAUGUUUAGGCCUAACCUAACCUAUGAGCACCUCUAUCAGCUAACUAAUGGUGACAACUUUGAAAAUUGGCUUGAUAACAACUUUAACCCCCAGUAUUUAUACAUUGUGUCAAUUUAGUAUUGAUUUUAAAAAAUCUAACCUUCAACAUUUACAUAUAGUGUAAUUUAAUAUUUUUUGCAGUUUUGUUUUUCUUAUGGGCUAAAUUAUAAGAUUAGCCAAAUCAGCGCGGUUAAUGUGGGAAGAACUAGAAAAUAAGAUUUUUAGGAGGAGAGAUCCUUAAUUGGUAAAUAUCCCAAGCUCAUCUAGGCAAAAUGGCAAAGGAGGGAUUGGUUACUCCACCAUUUUCACGAUUUCUUUUAUUUUCAAUACAAAAAUUCUCUUAAUUUUCUCUCGACUCCUUCCAUUAACCUUUGAUUAUCUAUCUGUUCAAGAUUUUAGAUAGGUGAAUUCAUUUUUCAGAAAAAUACUUGAGUUAACUCGAUAAUUGAUAUAAUACUUCACAUCUGAUCGAUUUUUAAAUUGAGUGUAGAAUGUAACAUAUAUUUAUUAUCAUCAUUAGUUGGUCUUUACCGAGUAUAAAUAGUUAAUAAUAAAUAUAAUGUAAUUAAGUAAAGUCAGUGAUUUAUAUUAAAUACUAAACAAUUUAGUUGAAUAUUUUAAUUUACUAAGUUAAAAUAUAUGUGAAUUAUCACUCAUCAACAAAAAUUUCAAAUUAUUUAAAUAAAAUUAGUAAAAUAACAUAUAAUCAUAUUUUAAAAAAAUAAAAUAUAUAUAAAAUUAAAACAAUAUUAUUAUUGUAUAAAAAUAAUCUUAAAACCAAUAAGUGAUUGGGUAUAAUGGUAAAACACAUUACAUUCCUAAAGGGAAGACCCAAGUUUAAACAUUGAAGACACAAUAUUGUUGAGAGAGAUAGCCAUGACUUCUGAAUAUGGACCGUAAAACGGACAUAAAAUAUAUAUAUAUAAAACAACUUUUUAAAUCAUAUACUAGUUCAGUUGGAAAUCCUCAAAGUAAUUAAAUUUAAGAGUAAUUGUUUAUAAUUAACCGCGUAAUUAUCACAAUUUUUAUCCUUUAAGAAUCGGAUUGUGCAAUUGAAACCAUCAAACUACAUUCAUUCAAUGGUAAAUUGAUUACCCAAACAUGUCAUACAUGUACAAAUAAUUAAACUCAAAUCUAAUUAUUAGAUAAUUUUUCAAACAUAAUAAUCUAUUUUUUUAAUAAUUAUUAGAUUAUGUUUUUCUGAAAAAUCUCUUAUUUUUCUUUAUAAAGUGAUAUCUAAGUAAAAUUUUAGUAAAAUUAUUCUGCCAAGUUUUGAAUGGAUUUGAUUAUUGUUAUCGUUAACUAGAUUGAUCCACAGAUACCAAUUAAUAGGCGUUUACACUUCACAUAUAUAAAUGGGUGAUUAGAUUAAACAGAAAAAGAAAUGGUGAUUAGUGCAAUAUAAUAAGGAAGCUUCUUAGUGGUGAUAUUAGUAGUGGAGCAAUAACAAUUCUAUUGGUAGAUUUGUAAGUUAUUUAGGGCAGCCCUGUGACACCAAAUUGGCAACUUCAAUUUUACAACUUUUUAUUUACACAAGUUAAGGUAAUGGUUAUUAUGUUUUAUGAUUACAAUAUCAAAGGUUAUAUUUUAUGAAUUUAUGGUUAGAUAAUCUAAAGAAAAUAAAGUUAUUUUAAUUAAAAAAAGGAUUUUAUUACUUUUAUGUUUAAAAUGUGGGUAAACCAUCUCGUCUUAAUUUAAACACCCCAGAAAAGGAUUGAUCAAAUUGAUUACUCCACUGUUAAAUGGUAAUGGAAAUCUAACGGUACAUUUCCACGUAAGCCACUCUAAAAUUAAGGUAAACUACCUAUUAGGCACUUUAAAUAGGUUCAUUUAUAUUUUGGUUACCCCAAAAUUUUUCAAUACAAAUAUUUUAUUAAUCUUUCGUUACCAUUUACUGGUGAAGUGAUUUAUUUAAUUAAUUUUUUGAAUGAUCAAACUAACACAAACUUUUGAGUGACCAAAUAAAAACCGCCCUAUUAGAAUGAUUAACUAUUAAAAAGUUUUUAAUUUAAAUAUAUAUACCACUCAUUUCAAUUUCCCAUAACAUUAAUGUUAAAUACUUUAAACCCUUAAAAUUUUUAACAAUAAUAUUAAGGUAUAAUAAUUUAUUUGUUCUCUAAUUUUAUAAUAAAAAAAUUAUUUUAACUCUCUAUUUAAUUUUUUAUUUCUUUUAAUCCUUAAACUUGCAUUGUUUAUCAAUCACCUUAAAAUGGAUGAAAAAAAAUAUGUUUGUUAACUUUACUAAUGUGGCAAUUCAUAUGUAUAUCAUAUUAACAAUUAAUUAUAUUUUAAAAAAUAAAAUAUUAUUUAAAAAUAUUUUUAUUUAAAAUUUUUAAAAAAUAAUUUUAUAAAUUUUAUAAAUAUAAUCAAUUGCUUACGAGACAUCAACAAACAUUAAUUUUUUCAUUCAUUUUGAGGGUGAUUUGACUAAAAUACAAGUUUGUGGACUAAAAGAAGAAAAAAAUAAAAAAAAGGCUAAAAUGACUUUUUUUUAAGUUAGAGGGCCAAAUAAGUAAUUAUGUUUAAUAUUAAUGAUAAACUACCUCGUUAGUCACUUUGAAUAGUGGUCGGGUCACCUCAAUUUUUUUUUAAAAUAAUGAGGUAGUUUACUUUACCCUAAUAUUAAGGGUAAACUACAACUAAUGUCACUAAACUAUUAAUAAGUUUACGUUUUAAUCACUGAACUUCAAAAAGUUACAAAAUGACCAAUGAACUAUUUAAAUUUUUUUAUUUAAGUAUUUGGAUUGUUAAAAUCAUCGUUGUAUAUCCUCUGUUAGUAUCACCAGCACCAAUCGAAAUCUCUCAUUCCCCUCCUCUUCUAAGAUUUAGUUUUUUUCUAUAAAAUAACUUUGAACAUCAUGAAUUAACUGUAACACCCCCUAACCCUAAAUCGUCACCGAAAUAGGGUUACAAGUUAUUACCGGACUUAUACACUAGAAUUUAUACAAAACUGAGUCAUACAUUUUCGUUCCAAAUCAAAACCUUUCAAAUUUCACCAUAAAGUCCUUAAUAUGGGUCUACGAGGCCCAAUACAUGAUUUAGAAAUAAUUCAGGAUUAAACCUGCAACUUUAGAAAUUUUUCCUUAAAGAUAGGGGCACACGCCUGUGUGGCCUGGGACAUGGCCGUGUGGCCAGUCCGUGGGGCUCCCAUGGCCGUGGGGCCAAGCCGUGGGCAGAUCUAACUUGCACACACGGCCGUGGGAACAACACGUGUAACAUAAACAGAGAGCCACACGGCUUGAGCACACGCCCAUGUGACUUGGCCGUGUGAAAACAUGAUUUUUGACCAUUUUUAAGCUAUUUUCACAAGCUAAACACAUCCAGUUCAUGCUCAAGCAUUUACUAAUAGUUCUUAAUUCAAAUAUCAUUUAUUAUGCCAUUUAAACUUAGCAAAUAUUCAUUCAUUCACUUCAAUACCUCUUAAGGACUAUGUACCACAAUUCAUAUCAAAAUUAUACUACAUUAACAUACUAAUCAAAAUCAUGUAAGUUUAACUUCUAAAAUAUGCAUAUUUCAUACCAUGCUUCAACAACUUUCAUGUAUAUUCACUAUCAUGUACAAAAUAACACCUUAACAACCUAGGUAUAUGCCAUUUUAUCAAAAGAAAAGUAUUCACCACUUUAAGUCCGGGAUUGGCUUGGAUGCUGAAUCCUUAACUUUCUUUUGUACCUAAUCCUGCACAAGGAAAAUAAAUCGUACGCUGAGUAUACACUCAGUGGUAUUUCUAUAAACUAAUACUUAAAACAUUAAUAAGCUAUGUAUAUACAUUAUAAUUUAAACUUUUUACUUUCAUAAUCUUAAUAGCUUCAUCACUUACCUUUAACUUAUAGUUCUUAAAUGAAAUUAAACAAUUCUUUAUAUACAUUUCAUAUCAUUCAAUAUCUUUCAAUACUUGUAUAACAUUCACAGUCACAUAAUUAAUAGUAGUCAGUCUUUGUCGUUAGUACUUUCAUUUAUCCCUAUUAACAUAACUCGGACUUGGACGGAUACACAAAUCCAACACAUACAUCGGGGAUAAUAUAUAGUGUUUCAUCGCCCGAAACCGGAAUACACCGUAGGGUAACAGUAACAGUAACAGUCAUAAUCAAGUACGAAGUACCUCUUCGGAACGAAUCCAGAACAGUCACAGUAGUCGACACAUAUAGUGUCUCAUCGACACACAGUCGAAAUAUCCCUGAACACUUCCAAUACUAUGGCAUACCAACUAUAUCUAUCUAGCUCGACACUGUUAAUAGGGUAUUCAAAUCAUUUCAUUUUGAUACAGAAACAGUAACAAUUUUCAUCAUUUUUUUAUCAUACAUGUUAACAAUUAAAUAUAGCAAUUACUUUUAUUAAAUUAUUAAGCAUAGUUUAUAAAAAUACAAACUGAAAUUCUCGAGUUUACUCGAUAUCCUCGUUCACUUUCUCCUUUCCCUUCUUCGAUGACGUUUUCGGUGCUACGUUAGCUACGGAAAAAUUAACAUUUAAAAUCAUCAAUACAUAUCAUUUAAUAACACUCUUCUAUUUUUCAUGUAACUUUUAUAAAAAUUUCAAUAUAGUCCUUCCACCAUAACCAUUAUUUUUCUUCAAAUAAAUCUCAUAUUUUCAUUUAAUAGCUACUUUAAACAAGUUUUAGUUCUUCAUAUUCAAUAUAAAACAUCAAUUUUACAAUUUAGACAAUUUAGUCCCUACUAUAAUAAAACUUAUAUCUCUUUUUACAAUUCAAUCCUUCUCCCACUUCUAACUUGAAUUUCUAUCACCUUAUAUCAUAAUUCAUCUAUUUAUUCAACUUAUUAAACAUCUAAAAUUUCACUAUCUUCCUAAAUUUCAACAUAAUUCAAGUAGGGCUUUGUUCUAGGAUUCCAAAAACAUCAAAAUUACAAGAAAAUGAACUAAAUUGACUUACCACUUGAACUUCAAACAUCAAAACCCAAUUUUUCCUUUCUUUUUCUUUCUCUUUUUCUUUCUUUCUUUCCCUCCUUUGUUUCGUCCCUUUCUCCCCUCCUCUGUUUCGUCCCUUUCUCCCUUCUUUUUCUUUAUGUUUUAUUUCUUUUAUUCUUUUAUUAUUAUAUUAUAUCAUUAUUAUAUGUUUUUAUAUUAUAAAUAUUAUUUCUUUUUUAAUAAGUAAUUACAUAUUUAUACAUACAUUUGUACCGAUCACAAUAAUGCAAAUGCCCUUAUACAUACCACACACUUGUCACAUAAGGGCUUAUUUGCUAAUUUAAUCUCUUGACUUUUCUAUAGUUUAUAAUUAAACUUUUACCCUAUAUUCAAUCUAGUCCUUUCACUAAAUUAGCUUUAAUUAAAGCUAAUUCACUUAACCAAAGUCUAAUUAACUACACUACUAGCUUCGUAAAUAUUUCUAAUAAAUAUUUAUGAAUUCAUUUUGCGGAAAUUAUAACCCGAAAAUACAAUUUUCCGAUGACCUUAAAAUUUAGGUCGUUACAUUAACGAACCAAAAUUCAAAUAGCUUUCUCCUCUGAUCUUUGACAUCAAUCGGUUAGAUCAGCUUUAAUAUAAGAUAUGUUCUUCUACUUGUCGAAGAAUACUGUUCCAUCGUAUUGGUCAUUGAAUCAUCACUUGGAGUUCACCUACCGGAUAUUAACUCCUCUUAUGGUAAAAUUUUAUCCUAAUAAAAAAUCUAUUUAACUCCUCUUAUUGUAAAAUUCUACAAUUAGUCCCCAUACUCUAUGAAAGUUAUAAAUUUAGUCUCUAUAUUUUAAUUUGAUCAAUUUUAGUCUUUGCACUUUUCGAAUUGGUUAUUUUUAACCCUUACAAUUUUUGAAUGUUAAAAUUUUAAUCAUAACCAAACGGUAACAGUUAAAUCUAUGUGGUUAAAUUCUACUAUUAAUCCUGUAUAUGCGUAAAAUUAUAGAUUCAAUCCAUAUUCUCCAAUUGGAUCAUUCUUAAUAGGUAUAUUUCUCGAAUUCUAAAAUUUUGGUCUUGAUGCAUAUGACCAUUAUUAAAUCCAUUAACUAGUUUUCUUGUGAGUAAUGUGUAGAAAUAGCAUGCUAACAUAACAUUACAAAUGCAAUGAUAUGUUUGCCGCAUCAAAAUUUGAAAAUAACAAAACUUAAUGAAUUUAGUAGCUAACAUUUAGUCAAGACUAAAAUUUUAAAAAUAAAAAAGUAAAAGGAUUGAAAACAAUCAAAUUAAGUAUAGGGACUAAAUUCACGACUUUCGCAUAGUACAUAGACUAAUAACAAAAUUUUAUCCUAAUAAAAUGAUUUAUUUGUUAGUUAGACAUCAAGUUCAACAUAUAAUCAUUUUCAAUGGAAAUAUAAAUAAAUGAAAAUUUUACCUAUAGCUAUGGGAAGACACCAAGUUUGUUUUGAAUGUACAGUGAAUAUCUCCAUCAUCCUCCCAAAAGUAAAGCAGCUACAUAUUCAGCAAUCGCCAUGCUUGAAGUCAGCCCGGGUGACUUGAUACCGAAAAGAUUUACAAGACCACCCACUCCAUGAAUGUCUUCUCCCUACAGAAAAUAGAAAUUUAUGUCAAAAUAACCCAAUAGAUCCGAAUCACCAAAAUCCACUCUAAACUCUUAACAGGUUUAGAAUGGAUAGUAUCUGUAUAUCUAUACCCAUGUAAAUCAUUAGAGACAUCAUACUUUUCCUCCAAAUUCUUACUGUUUAACAUAAACCUAUGAAACAUAUGCAGUUAUCUUCGCAUAAAAUGUAUGUACCACAAGUCACAAGUUUAUUUAAAUCAUGAGAAGCAAUAAAUAUAUAAAUUUACUAUUACUAUUUCUGUUAUUGCACGGUUACGAUUAUUAAUUAUCUUUAGGAUUCAAAUCUAGAGUUAGGAUUAAAAUUUUAUUUGUAAUCUUAGAAUAAAUAAGCUUUAAAAUAUUUACAACAACAUCCUUAUCAUUUUCUUGAUUUAAUAGAAACAAACUAGAGGUUCUCUAUAAACCCUAUGUUUUCUAAAGCUGUAACUUCUUUCUAACUUGUUUAUUUAGACCUAAUUCUAUUGAUUUACUACUAUUUUCCCAUUAGAUCCUAGGGUUUAUAUUAGGGUUUGCUAUGAAGCUAUCAUUGGAUGUGGUAGAGGUCAAGGAAGACGAAAUUAGCGUCAAGAAACAUAAUUGGCUGCGACAAGAAUAAAUGGGAUCUCAUUGUCUAGCAAGGUUAAACCAAUAUAUGAGGGAUGAGACAGGAGCCGUUCAGUUAUUGGACCUUGAAAAUACAUGAAAACAUGCUUUAAUGGCUGAAAAACGUAUGACAGUAUGGUGCAAGAAAGCCUAUAUCGGGAAGGAUUGAAGGAGUAGCAAAAAGGGGGCUUGAAGCCAUUUAAGGCAUUAAAACUAAACUAACAACCUUUAAAAUUAACAGUGAGCUUCCUUUAAGAAACAUGUUGAUGGAUUGGACCUUGAAAAUACAUGAAAACAUGCUUUAAUGGCUGAAAAACGUAUUUGACAGUAUGGUGCAAGAAAGCCUAUAUCGGGAAGGAUUGAAGGAGUAGCAAAAAGGGGGCUUGAAGCAAUUUAAGGCAUUAAAACUAAACUAACAACCUUUAAAAUUAACAGUGAGCUUCCUUUAAGAAACAUGUUGAUGGAUUGGACCUUGAAAAUACAUGAAAACAUGCUUUAAUGGCUGAAAAAUGUAUUUGACAGUAUGGUGCAAGAAAGCCUAUAUCGGGAAGGAUUGAAGGAGUAGCAAAAAGGGGGCUUGAAGCAAUUUAAGGCAUUAAAACUAAACUAACAACCUUUAAAAUUAACAGUGAGCUUCCUUUAAGAAACAUGUUGAUGGAGGAAACAAGGGCAAUAUUGAGAGGAGUGAAAAGAGGAAGGCUUUAGUUGGACAUGGGGUUUGAAAAUAAGGCUGGAGUCAGCUGUACAGAAUGCUUCUUAAGAUGGCAGCAACUCAGAUUAGUUGUUUUACUUGCGGGAAAAAUGGCCAUAGUUCUUACUCUAAUCGUGAACAAAGGGUGAACUUAACUAAGAAUAGCAAGAGGAUAUGUUAGACCCUAUUUAUGAUGAGUAUGUUUAAGGAAUAGAAGUAAAACUAUUAAAUAGGACUACAAACUUAAUGCUCUUACUCAGUGGUUCAAGAUUCAGUACAUUGGCUAAAGCUUGUCCAUUUAGCUUAUCCAAGUAGUGAGAAGGGCUAGGUUGUAGUUUGUUGCUCGCUACGUUUCUUACCAAUCAUAAAUUGUGGACACUUCUUUUUUGUUAUUCCUUUCUUAGAGAAAAUUCAGCAAGGCAGUAUUUCUUAAUAAUAAUAAGAAAAAGAGUAGCUCUUUGUACCAUAAAUGAAAUUCAGGCAUAUGGCUUGACAAAGGUAUAUAUCAGUUUUAUUACUCCAUAUUAAAGAGAAUACAUGAAACAAACCUGUAUUACAAAAUCACAGGCAGACUGUCCAGGUCCAUGAAGUUUUGGUCGAAUCCCUGCAUAACCUGGUAUUAGAGAUCCAUCUUUGAGAUUUGGGUAGUACUUCCGAAUCUCUGGAUAAAAUCUUGCAACACGAUCAACACUUACAGAAUAGUCAAACCUGAGAGCAUGGAACCACUAAGCUUAGUUUUUGACCAAAUGACAAUGAUUUUCACGAUACAAAAGAACUUAAUCAGUUGCUUUUAUGCAACAAAUGCAGCAACUAACUUAUCUGAAUGAACUCAAGAGCAAAAUUUGUUCUCUUUCUUAUUUCAAAUCCAGUGCAUUUGCAGAGCCAUAAAACAGCUAGUGAUGGAAUGGCUCAAACCGGUACCACCCCCCCCCCCCCCCAAAAAAAAAAGAAAACUCAUCCCCUCUAUUGAAAUAAAAUGGAAAUGUGCUGAAAUUUUAAUUUUAACCUCUGAAAGAGGGUUCAUUAACCAGCCAAGCUACUAAAUCAAUAAAAUUCUUGGAGACCACCUCUGAUGCCAACACCCAAUAUAGCUCUUCUAACUUCAACAAAGGAAAUAUCAAAUGAAGUACAGACUUCCUUAACGUAUAAGAUUACAACUAAGACUUUGAACAAAACUUACUGCACUAUCUGCUACCGAGUUCUAGAACAAACUUAUUCUAAGAGUCAGAUUUCCACCUCCAGGACAAUUGGAUACAAAAUGGAGUGUGUUUGCUCAAACAAAGCAAAGAGAAGCAUAGCACAAUCAAAUUACUUGGUCCAAAAAGUUCUAGCAAAUGAGAAUAUAGUAUAAGUUAUAUUGAAAUUUAAUUAGAUGCAAUUGCAAUUUCUACUGCACAAGGGAAUUUUCUUACUCAAAAAGAGUUUCUCAAAUGUGAUCAUGACAGUAGACAAACUUCCAAAACAUAAAUGAAAUGGAAAGAAUCCUAAUAUGAGAUAAAUAUUCUUCCAAGUUAGGCAUCAAGAGAUUUCUGCCAACCACUGUAUUAGUUUAGGACAUUGGCCACUGUAACAGAAAAAAGCAGGACUGACAAUCUAAGUUAACACACAAACAAAACAAUGAAAGUUAUUGAAAGGAAGCUGGCUCUGGAAGAAACGAUAAAGUAAUAACUAUAACAACUCUUCAUCAAAUUACAAUAAAUAAAAAUAAAAAUGAUGAGCAAUGAGGACAUGAAAUCACAAAAGGAAGAAGCACCUAGCAUAGAGAUGGAAACAAAGUGUACAGUAGAAUAGGAAGAAUUUAAGGCACAACAUCAGUAUAAACAAAUGAUACAUACUGAACUAUUGAUGCUGGGAUAAUUGUUAUGCAUGACAUGUUUUCCAUUGCCAGCAAACAAGAGAAAGACAAAAAAAGAAGAAGAGCAAAACCUACUGUGAUUUUAAUCCAAAUUACUCACUAGCAUGUAUUUUGUGUUUUAAUGAAUAUACCCUCAAGGGAAAUGGCGCCUUCUACUAUUACUCUCAAAACUUAAGUAAUCACACCUGUUAUAAUCAUAACCAUUUAAAGGAAGUAAAUCACUUAUUCCUCUACUGCUCUACAUGGGACUGUAGUCUUGUUAUUUUAAGAAAUACAAAUCUACAAAUUAUGGAACUUGUAUAGGUUGUAAACAAAUAAAACUAUAGAAAAUUCAUAAUCACGAAAUUGGGAAUGGAAAAAAAGUACUACACCCAAAGCAGCAUAAAAAAAUUUGGAAUGGGAAGAGAAAAGAAUACUUAUUAAGGAAGUUGGUUGUAUCAGGUACAUGAGGAAUCCACUCAACAUCUGGGCCAAACUUGAGCUGACCAUCUAAGUCCAGAGUAACAUGCACUCCAAGACCACCUUCCUCUGGUACAGGAUAUAUCAAGUGCUUGAAAGGAGGAUGUCUAGUAGAAUUUGCAUUUGAAAG
rnacentral:lncRNA from 1 species